rnacentral:rRNA from 1 species
ACAUGCAGUCGAACGAAGAGUAUUUGUAGUAAUACAGGUGCUUCUUAGUGGCGAACGGCUGAGUAACGCGUUGGUGACCUGCCCCAAAGUGUGGGAUAACAGUCCGAAAGGAUUGCUAAUACCUCAUGUGGUCUUCGGAAUUAGAAACCGAUUUCUAAAGGAGUAAUCCGCUUUGGGAGGGGCCUGCGUCCCAUCAGCUAGUUGGUGAGGUAAUGGCUCACCAAGGCUUCGACGGGUAAGGGGCCUGAGAGGGUGGCCCCUCACAAUGGAACUGAAACACGGUCCAUACACCUACGGGUGGCAGCAGUAGGGAAUAUUGGGCAAUGGGCGAAAGCCUGACCCAGCAACGCCGCGUGUGCGAUGAAGGUCUUCGGAUCGUAAAGCACUUUUCUGGGAGAUGAGAAAGGACAGUAUCCCAGGAAUAAGCCUCGGCUAACUACGUGCCAGCAGCCGCGGUAAAACGUAGGAGGCGAGCGUUAUCCGGAUUUACUGGGCGUAAAGCGCGUGCAGGCGGUUCAGCAAGUUGGAUGUGAAAGCUCCUGGCUCAACUAGGAGAGGUCGUUCAAUACUACUGAACUUGAGGGCAUCAGAGGAAGGUGGAAUUCCGGGUGUAGUGGUGAAAUGCGUAGAUAUCCGGAGGAACACCAGUGGCGAAGGCGACCUUCUGGGAUGUUCCUGACGCUCAGACGCGAAGGCUAGGGUAGCAAACGG